rnacentral:rRNA from 1 species
GAUGAACGCUAGCGGCAGGCCUAAUACAUGCAAGUCGAACGGUGUCUUCGGACAUAGUGGCGCACGGGUGCGUAACACGUAUGCAACCUACCUUACAUUGGGGGAUAGCCUUUCGAAAGGGAGAUUAAUACCGCAUAAGACAGUAGCUGGGCAUCCAGCAGCUGUUAAAGAUUUAUCGAUGUAAGCUGGGCAUGCGUCCAAUUAGCUAGUUGGUGAGGUAACGGCUAACCAAGGCAAUGAUUGGUAGGGGAACUGAGAGGUCAAUCCCCCACACUGGCACUGAGAAACGGGCCAGACUCCUACGGGAGGCAGCAGUAGGGAAUAUUGGGCAAUGGACGCAAGUCUGACCCAGCCAUGCCGCGUGCAGGAUGAAGGCGUUAUGCGUUGUAAACUGCUUUUAUACAGGAAGAAACGACCCUUGCGAGAGGCAUUGACGGUACUGUAUGAAUAAGCACCGGCUAACUCCGUGCCAGCCGCCGCGGUAAAAC